ensembl:lncRNA
GUCUCUAUAAUAGAAAACAUGCUGUACACUUACUGUAGACAUAAAACUAACCCUCCUUGAGUUGAUGAGCUUUGAUUUCAAGUGUUCUUCUAUCAAACUAUCAAGUCCUAAACUGUCACAGAAACUACAAGCAAAUCACAGGAACACAUAAUCUUGCAGAGUGCUGAUGCCUAUUCUGCCCAGGAAUCAGUCGGUAUUACUGUAAAACUUCCCGUCACCAAGCUCUGCUUUGAUGGAUGACCAAAGUAGCUGCUAUUCUAUUCAAAGCCUACCUGCUUGAUGAUUCCCUGCAAGACAAGGCCCAGCAGCUCCAAGGUUCCUCUGGAAGGUCAGCUUUAUACAGACAGCAAGGCGAGCACCUCCUGUGUCAGUGCCUGAGCUCCCAUCACUGUCAGCUGUGUGGAAGCCAUUACACACAGGCAGUGCUGCAGUUUCCAUGGGCAGCAAUGUGCACUGAGCUCGCAGCCGACAGACGCACCCGGAGCCAUCUGUGCCGAGCGGUUUGUGUGCAGAGCACGGCUAUCUUCUGUUUGCUACCUUCAGCAAUGAGACGGCGCGAUGCAGGAACAAUCAGAGGGAAAUGUUUCUGUCAUCUUCACUGGUACCCUCAGCUCCG